CGUACGAUCACCGAAGUUAAGCAACGUCGUGCCUGGUCAGUAUAUAGAUGGGUGACCGCUUGGGAAUACCAGUUGCUGUAAG